GUUUAUUUCUAUGUUUUUUCAAACUUGGUUUGAUGGAGAAAAUGUCUGCAGAGAUUAAUAAUGAUUCGACUACAGUCAUUACCGGUUCUGCACGUGCUUUGAUUUCUUUCGAUGUAUGAAUGGUGUGGCUACAAUCAUAUAUAUGAAAUUUCCACUUUUGAAAAUCAACAAGAAAAAGAAACCAAGUGUUGCCUGGAUAUACUGAUGGAAUUAGUAAAUAGUUGUAU
rnacentral:lncRNA from 1 species